rnacentral:ncRNA from 1 species
CAAUAGCAACAUGCAAUAAAUUAUGGAUGUCUCGAUUUGGUGGUUGGUGGGGCACGGCCGUUCUUAGUUGGUGGAACGAUUUGUCUGGUUUAUUCCGACAACGAGCAAGACUCUAGUCUGCUGAACAGUGACUAGAUUCUCGUGUCUAGUCUACUUCUUGGAGCUAUGAGCAGUGUUUAGCUGCACGAGAUUGAGCGAUAAUAGGUCCAUAUCAGUCCCUCU